ensembl:snRNA U6 U6 spliceosomal RNA
GUGCUCACUUUGGCAGCAUAUAUUCUAAGAAUUGGAACGAUACAGAGAAAAUUAGCAUGGUCCCUGUGCAAGGAAGACACAUAAAUUCUUGAAUCGUUCCAUAUUUUA